GCGCUGGUGGUCUAGCUGGUAUGACUUUGGCCUUCCAAGCCAACGACCCGGGUUCAAAUCCCGGCCGGCGCA
rfam:Candidatus Halobonum tyrrellensis G22 contig00008, whole genome shotgun sequence.